rnacentral:sRNA from 1 species
AGUUAUUCAGCCCCUUUUAUCUAAGAAUUUCUAAGUCCCAGAACAGACAGAAAUGGCUUCCUUCUCUUUUCUCUCCUAUACUUUCAUCAUUCAGGCAAUAUAAAAUUUAAAGCUGAAUUGGUAAAUAAGUCUAAACAGUGCUAAGAGGAGCAUCAUCUUAGCUUCAAGCUCCUGGUUGAGUCAAAAAAACAAAUAGAGAAAAAUUUUUGUGAAUUAGAGAUUAUAGGGCAGAUGUUCUUGUAGUGAAGCUUAGGAAAUGGAGUGAGGGCAAUGAUUAAAGUGCAGGACUGCCAUGUCCUUAAAGGAUGCCUGUUGUUCUUACAUCACCAAAAAAGUGGGUUAUUUAAGAGGUUUUCAUCCAGAUACAGAAGUCUGAACUCUUGUUUUUUUAUUCUGCGGCCUAGGGCGACUACGUGCACAAGUCUGUGUUUAUCAUUUUCUUCCAAGGCGAUCAGCUGAAAAACAGAGUCAAGAAAAUCUGUGAAGGGUUCCGAGCCUCACUCUAUCCCUGUCCUGAGACACCACAGGAGAGGAAGGAAAUGGCUUCUGGAGUGAAUACCAGGAUUGAUGAUCUCCAAAUGGUUCUGAAUCAAACGGAGGAUCACCGCCAGAGGGUUCUGCAGGCAGCUGCUAAGAACAUCCGUGUCUGGUUCAUCAAAGUACGGAAGAUGAAGGCCAUCUAUCACACCCUGAACCUGUGCAACAUAGACGUGACUCAGAAAUGCUUGAUUGCAGAGGUCUGGUGCCCUGUCACCGACCUUGACUCCAUCCAGUUUGCAC